rnacentral:rRNA from 1 species
CGUUGCGGCGGCUACCAUGCAGUCGAGCGGGGGAGGUUGCUUCGGUACUUGACUUAUCGGCGGAGGGUGAGUAAUGCUUAGGAAUCUGCCUAUUAGUGGGGGACAACAUUCCGAAAGGGAUGCUAAUACCGCAUACGCCCUACGGGGGAAAGCAGGGGAUCUUCGGACCUUGCGCUAAUACAUGAGCCUAAAUCGGAUUAGCUAUAUGUUGGGGGAAAGGCCUCCCCAGGCGACAAUCUGUAUCGCGUCUGAGAGGAAGAUCCCCCCCACUGGGACUGAGACACGGCCCAGACUCCUACUGGAGGGGGCGGUGGGGAAUAUUGAACAUGGGGCGGGAGCCUGAUCCAGCCAUGCCCCGGGUGUGAGAAAGGCCUUUUGUUUGUAAAGCACUUUUACUUAGGAGGAGGCUCUUAGUGUUAAUACCCUUAAUGAGUGGACUUGACUCUCACAAAAAAAACCGGCUAACUUUAUUCCGGGACCCCCCACCACA